rnacentral:rRNA from 1 species
AGUCGAGCGGAUGAAGGGAGCUUGCUCCUGGAUUCAGCGGCGGACGGGUGAGUAAUGCCUAGGAAUCUGCCUGGUAGUGGGGGAUAACGUCCGGAAACGGGCGCUAAUACCGCAUACGUCCUGAGGGAGAAAGUGGGGGAUCUUCGGACCUCACGCUAUCAGAUGAGCCUAGGUCGGAUUAGCUAGUUGGUGGGGUAAAGGCCUACCAAGGCGACGAUCCGUAACUGGUCUGAGAGGAUGAUCAGUCACACUGGAACUGAGACACGGUCCAGACUCCUACGGGAGGCAGCAGUGGGGAAUAUUGGACAAUGGGCGAAAGCCUGAUCCAGCCAUGCCGCGUGUGUGAAGAAGGUCUUCGGAUUGUAAAGCACUUUAAGUUGGGAGGAAGGGCAGUAAGUUAAUACCUUGCUGUUUUGACGUUACCAACAGAAUAAGCACCGGCUAACUUCGUGCCAGCAGCCGCGGUAAUACGAAGGGUGCAAGCGUUAAUCGGAAUUACUGGGCGUAAAGCGCGCGUAGGUGGUUCAGCAAGUUGGAUGUGAAAUCCCCGGGCUCAACCUGGGAACUGCAUCCAAAACUACUGAGCUAGAGUACGGUAGAGGGUGGUGGAAUUUCCUGUGUAGCGGUGAAAUGCGUAGAUAUAGGAAGGAACACCAGUGGCGAAGGCGACCACCUGGACUGAUACUGACACUGAGGUGCGAAAGCGUGGGGAGCAAACAGGAUUAGAUACCCUGGUAGUCCACGCCGUAACGAUGUCGACUAGCCGUUGGGAUCCUUGAGAUCUUAGUGGCGCAGCUAACGCGAUAAGUCGACCGCCUGGGGGAGUACGGCCGCAAGGUUAAAACUCAAAUGAAUUGACGGGGG